CCUACGGGUGGCAGCAGUGGGGAAUUUUACGCAAUGGGGGAAACCCUGACGUAGCGACACCGCGUGAGCGAAGAAGCCCCUUGGGGUGUAAAGCUCUGUCAGCUGGAACGAAACAAAUGACGGUACCAGCAGAGGAAGCAUCGGCUAACUACGUGCCAGCAGCCGCGGUAAGACGUAGGAUGCGAGCGUUGUCCGGAUUUAUUGGGCGUAAAGAGUUCGUAGGUGGUUUGUUAAGUUUGAUGUUAAAGAUCGGGGCUCAACCUCGGGACAGCAUUGAAUACUGGCAGACUUGAGUAUGGUAGAGGCUAGUGGAAUUCCCAGUGUAGCGGUGAAAUGCGUAGAUAUUGGGAAGAACACCGGUGGCGUAGGCGACUAGCUGGGCCAUAACUGACGCUGAGGAACGAAAGCCAGGGGAGCGAAAGGGAUUAGAUACCCUUGUAGUC
rnacentral:rRNA from 1 species